AGUGAACGCUGGCGGUAGGCCUAACACAUGCAAGUCGAACGGCAGCACAGAGGAGCUUGCUCCUUGGGUGGCGAGUGGCGGACGGGUGAGGAAUACAUCGGAAUCUACUUUUUCGUGGGGGAUAACGUAGGGAAACUUACGCUAAUACCGCAUACGACCUACGGGUGAAAGCAGGGGAUCUUCGGACCUUGCGCGAUUGAAUGAGCCGAUGUCGGAUUAGCUAGUUGGCGGGGUAAAGGCCCACCAAGGCGACGAUCCGUAGCUGGUCUGAGAGGAUGAUCAGCCACACUGGAACUGAGAAACGGUCCAGACUCCUACGGGAGGCAGCAGUGGGGAAUAUUGGACAAUGGGCGCAAGCCUGAUCCAGCCAUACCGCGUGGGUGAAGAAGGCCUUCGGGUUGUAAAGCCCUUUUGUUGGGAAAGAAAUCCAGCCGGCUAAUACCUGGUUGGGAUGACGGUACCCAAAGAAUAAGCACCGGCUAACUUCGUGCCAGCCGCCGCCGUAA
rnacentral:rRNA from 1 species